ACGCUGGCGGCAGGCCCACACAUGCAAGUCGAGCGGUAGCACAGGAGAGCUUGCUCUCUGGGUGACGAGCGGCGGACGGGUGAGUAAUGUCUGGGAAACUGCCUGAUGGAGGGGGAUAACUACUGGAAACGGUAGCUAAUACCGCAUGACCUCGCAAGAGCAAAGUGGGGGACCUUCGGGCCUCACGCCAUCGGAUGUGCCCAGAUGGGAUUAGCUAGUAGGUGGGGUAAUGGCUCACCUAGGCGACGAUCCCUAGCUGGUCUGAGAGGAUGACCAGCCACACUGGAACUGAGACACGGUCCAGACUCCUACGGGAGGCAGCAGUGGGGAAUAUUGCACAAUGGGCGCAAGCCUGAUGCAGCCAUGCCGCGUGUGUGAAGAAGGCCUUAGGGUUGUAAAGCACUUUCAGCGAGGAGGAAGGCGCUGCAGUUAAUAGCUGCAGCGAUUGACGUUACUCGCAGAAGAAGCACCGGCUAACUCCGUGCCAGCAGCCGCGGUAAUACGGAGGGUGCAAGCGUUAAUCGGAAUUACUGGGCGUAAAGCGCACGCAGGCGGUUUGUUAAGUCAGAUGUGAAAUCCCCGAGCUUAACUUGGGAACUGCAUUUGAAACUGGCAAGCUAGAGUCUUGUAGAGGGGGGUAGAAUUCCAGGUGUAGCGGUGAAAUGCGUAGAGAUCUGGAGGAAUACCGGUGGCGAAGGCGGCCCCCUGGACAAAGACUGACGCUCAGGUGCGAAAGCGUGGGGAGCAAAC
rnacentral:rRNA from 1 species